GAUGAGAACGCAGCGAAAUGCGAUAAGUAAUGUGAAUUGCAGAAUUCAGUGAAUCAUCGAAUCUUUGAACGCACAUUGCGCCCGCCAGUAUUCUGGCGGGCAUGCCUGUCCGAGCGUCAUUUCAACCCUCGAACCCCUCCGGGGGGUCGGCGUUGGGGACCUCGGGAGCCCCUAAGACGGGAUCCCGGCCCCGAAAUACAGUGGCGGUCUCGCCGCAGCCUCUCCUGCGCAGUAGUUUGCACAACUCGCACCGGGAGCGCGGCGCGUCCACGUCCGUAAAACACCCAACUUCUGAAAUGUUGACCUCGGAUCAGGUAGGAAUACCCGCUGAACUUAAGCAUAUCAAUAAGCGGAGGA
rnacentral:misc_RNA from 1 species